rnacentral:rRNA from 1 species
CCUAGUAACUGCGAGUGAAGCGGGAAGAGCUCAAAUUUAAAAUCUGACAGUCUUUGGCUGUCCGAGUUGUAAUCUAGAGAAGUGCUAUCCGCGCUGGACCGUGUACAAGUCUCCUGGAAUGGAACAUCAUAGAGGGUGAGAAUCCCGUCUCUGACACGGACUUCCAGGGCUUUUGUGAUACGCUCUCAAAGAGUCGAGUUGUUUGGGAAUGCAGCUCUAAAUGGGUGGUAAAUUCCAUCUAAAGCUAAAUAUUGGCGAGAGACCGAUAGCGAACAAGUACCGUGAGGGAAAGAUGAAAAGAACUUUGGAAAGAGAGUUAAACAGUACGUGAAAUUGUUGAAAGGGAAACGCUUGAAGUCAGUCACAUUGACUAGGGAUCAACCUUGCUUCUUUGCUUGGUGUACUUCCUAGUUGAUGGGCCAGCAUCAAUUUUGACCAGUGGAUAAAGGUCAAGGGAAUGUGGCAUCUUCGGAUGUGUUAUAGCCUUUGAUUGUAUACAUUGGUUGGGAUUGAGGAACUCAGCAUGCCGUAAGGCCGGGUUUCGACCACGAUCAUGCUUAGGAUGUUGGCAUAAUGGCUUUAAUCGACCCGUCUUGAAACACGGACCAAGGAGUCUAACAUGCCUGCGAGUAUUUGGGUGGCAAACCCAUGUGCGUAAUGAAAGUGAAGAUCAGGAUCUCUGUCAUGGAGAGCACUGAUGCCCGGACCAGACCUUUUGUGACGGAUCUGCGGUAGAGCAUGCAUGUUGGGACCCGAAAGAUGGUGAACUAUGCCUGAAUAGGGUGAAGCCAGAGGAAACUCUGGUGGAGGCUCGUAGCGAUUCUGACGUGCAAAUCGAUCGUCAAAUUUGGGUAUAGGGG